rnacentral:lncRNA from 1 species
AACUCCCAUCUCUGGUGCGGUGCAGGGAACGUUCAGUACAUUGUCAGCAUCUGAGAGGGCACAGCUGUACCGGGGAGAUCACUGAUGGAUAUUCCUGCAGUCCAGACAACUUUCCAGAGCUGGUAAAAUAGACACUGGGCAAAACGUGACUGAGCACCAACUUUCUACCUCAGACCUCUAAACCUCGUAAAGUCAGCAAGGCACCAUCAAUGAGAACUGUAAUCACGGAAUAUCACAAACACCUACAACAGCAGAUACAGAAUGGAACAAAACCAGGCCAAGCCCCACGCUCAGGAAGACUUGUGCCCUAAAUCCCCUGGCAAGCCGCGGCCCCCAGCAUUGGGCUGAUCCAGGGCCCAGGCUCCGGGCGGCUGGCGCUGGCUGCGCUGGGACCAUCCCAGCACU